rfam:Candidatus Riflebacteria bacterium GWC2_50_8 gwc2_scaffold_9203, whole genome shotgun sequence.
GGAGCUGUGAAGCUCUGUCAGAAGGAAGCCGGAGUGCAAAGCCACGAGCUGACGAACAGAAGCAGCACAUACGAGGCCAAGUUCGGGGGCGAGUCUGCACAACAAGACGAAGCCCAGACUUCACUGAACACGGUAAAUGCAAGGUUGCGAAGCACAGGAUGUGCAAGU